UGCAAGUCGACGAGAACGCAUCCUUCGGGAUGCAAGUACAGUGGCGCACGGGUGAGUAACGCGUAGGCAACCUGCCCUUGAGUGGGGAAUAACCAUCGGAAACGGUGGCUAAUACCGCAUGCAGUCGUACAUCGUAUGAUGUACGAUGAAAGUCUUCGGAUGCUCAAGGAUGGGCCUGCGUCGGAUUAGCUGGUAGGUAGGGUAACGGCCUACCUAGGCUACGAUCCGUAGCUGGUCUGAGAGGACGAUCAGCCACACUGGCACUGAGACACGGGCCAGACUUCUACGGAAGGCAGCAGUAGGGAAUAUUGGGCAAUGGGCGAAAGCCUGACCCACCCACGCCGCGUGGAGGAAGACACCCCUAUGGGGCGUAAACUCCUUUUAUAUGGGAAGAACACCUCCCUCAGGGAGGCUUGACGGUACCGUAUGAAUAAGCACCGGCUAACUCCGUGCCAGCAGCCGCGGUAAUACGGAGGGUGCAAGCGUUGUCCGGAUUCACUGGGUGUAAAGGGUGUGUAGGCUGGGCGGUAUGUCAGAGGUGAAAGCCCACGGCUUAACCGUGGAAUUGCCUUUGAAACUGCCGUUCUUGAGUCUCGGAGAGGUCGCUGGAAUUCGUGGUGUAGCGGUGAAAUGCGUAUAUAUCACGAGGAACACCAGAGGCGUAGGCGGGCGACUGGACGAGUACUGACGCUGAGGCACGAAAGCGUGGGGAGCAAACAGGAUUAGAUACCCUGGUAGUCCACGCCGUAAACGAUGGAUGCUCGGUGUUGGCCCUCAUUGUGGGGUCAGCGCCCAAGCUAACGCGUUAAGCAUCCCACCUGGGGAGUACGCUCGCAAGAGUGAAACUCA
rnacentral:rRNA from 1 species